UUCUUGCAAAGUAGGGACUUCCCACAUGAUUUAUUCAGAGGAGACGGAGCUUGGAGAUGCCGCCUACACAGGCAGCUGAUUUUCUAACCUGCCCUUCGCGCAGCGGUUUGUCUUCCUUCCUCCUCUCUCUCCUCGGUUCACAUGGUCUUCUAAGGACCCCCUGGUAAGGAGAACCUUACAGCAGAUGAUCCAAGUCUCCACCAUCACCUGGAAAUGAAAAAUGGAAAGCAAACGUUAUUGAGCUUCUGCAAUAAACUCGAAAGGAGUUCCAACAAGCUCCAUCUCCAUCCAUUAGUGAACGGGAGCAUCUGCUCAAAGCCCUCAGCGUGUGACUUGGACAGAAUGAAAGCAAGACAAAUAUUUACACAAAUGCAUGAGUUGUCAAAACUGCUUGGAAACACCGCACACUGACACGGACGUCACCAUGAAAAGGUGAGGGGCGAAAAAGAUACUGUCAGGGGGUAAAAAGAGACGAGCUUAUUCAUGGGGGAGCAGGUGAUGCUCUGUGGAGAACUCCAAAAGCUGCUCCUGGCUGUGUGGGAGGCAUGGGGCGGAGGCAGGGCACACUCCUUAGAGCUCCUGUGCGUGCUGGCGUGGGAGUCCUGUGUGUGACAGAAAGGAAGAAACGAGAAGGCGAGUGACAAACGCUCUGUGUGUGCAUCUGUCAUCACGGGUGAGCAAUAGACGUGGUAAGAAUCCUCAAGGCAAGGCCAUGUCAUUAGAGUGGGAAUGGGAAAAAAAAAAUCUCAUUAUUAGGGAAAACGGAUGCCUCGUGAAGCCAGGGCUUUUAGAACUAAGAGCACCAGACGGACAUUUUCCCAGGCUGGAGAAGCUUGUGUUGCUGAUGGUUGGUGAUAAGCCUUGGGGUCUUUUGCUUUCUCUUAUUUCAUUGCUUAUUGCCCCAUUUUUCUUUACCAGCCCCCGGGUGGAAUCCUGAGGGAGUCUAUAAGAAAACCCUUGAAGGGAGGGGAGGAGGGAUGGUUCCUUGUCCCGGAAGCACCCCUGCACUUUGAAGGGCUUGAUCUGAACUGCUUAGACAACACUUCAGUACAAUUCAUCAUAAGCCCAUCUUAUAUUUUCAAAGAGUAGAAGAUGGGGGAGGGCGGGGGUGCAGGAAGGGAUGCACAGGUAGUUGCCAGACCUAGAGGUGAGCCGGGUUCAAGUUAAAGUGACCCUGGAAAAGUCCUUCAGCCCUUCUGAACCUCUUUCCAUAUCUACACAGUAUUGGAAGAGACACACAGACGUCAUAGCCAGCCCUCAGGAGACUCGCUCGGGUUCGUCAUCAUCCCAAUGGCCAUUGUCACAGUAGAUGUGGCCAGUGUCCUUGAUAUACGUAAAGGGUUAUGGAAGCAACUUCGGAUCAACUUGUCUGAGUUCAGAAUCCUAGCAGCAUCACAUGACAUUGUUAACAAUGAGGGAGUAAAUGAUGGGCCAGCAGCCUCGGAGCACAAAAGUAAAAGAGCUGAGGGUGAGCUUACGUCUCCUGCCCAAGUAAAGCAAUCAGCAAAUUCAUCCGAAGAUCACCACUGUUCCCUGAGCCCUGAAGCGUGCGUGCGUGCGUGCCCUUUCCUUUCCAAUGAAAUCCUGCACGGCCCUGAUGGAGAAAAUGUAUUUGGACACACCCUGUCUUGCAUUCGUCUAAGAGUUCUGUGGAAAGAGGGCUGAGAGUUUUCACAUCCUUCAUCACAGGUGGCAGAGAUCACCUCUGUCCUGAGAGCAGAUGUCCGGGGCCCCGGGAACACCCAGUGGCUCUGGAGUACUGCCACGGACCCAGCCCUGGGCAACCGCUUCAGCUGCUUGGGUGGAUAUCCUUAUACCUUCUCCAACCCGUGCAAUUUCAGCCUCCCUCUGUGUUACUGACUUCUGCCUCAGGAACUCGCGUUCUUCAUCAGUAUCUGCCUCCUGUCCAUAAGUUCCCAUCCGAAUUACCUUGUCCUCCCCCUCUGGCAUUUAUUAUGCCGCCAGCUUCCUGCCCGUGUGCUUUCUUGGGGGUCUCAAUCCCUGGAAAUGGUUCUCUUCUGUUCUCACUGUGAUGGCCCAGUGCCAUCUACAUGCCCUUUCCAUAGUUCCGCCUUACAUUUGCCACCAUGGGCUGCGAGCUACCAUUGCCCCAUCACCAGGGGUGAAUGAUCUCCUUAGCUUGUGGUUCUAAGGCUUGCUUCCUAGGAACGAAGAAUCUCUUCUUGGGGUAGGUUGAGGCAGAUUCGUCAUGGGACAUCCACUUUCCAUGUUUCCCUAGUCCUAUAGCAUACAAGGUUCUUCUCUUCCAGCCCAAAGCCAUAUAAACAAGUCAGGGUGCUUAGAGGCUCUGAACCCCACAAGGAAGCUGAACAUUGUCGCAUAUGCCUGGGAAAGAGACAGCCGAGCUGGGGGCAUGUGCGGAAGAGAGCCCAAUAAUGAAUUCUUAUAAAUCUUCCAUGCUAAUUUUUGUCCUUUUUUAAAUAUCAGUUUUGCAUUUUUGUGCAUGUGUGUUUCUGUAUACAUGUGUGCCACAUGUGUGGGGUGUGUUGGUACCUGUAGAGUAGGAAGAGGGUAUUGGAUUCCUCGGAGCUGGAGUUAGUUAUAGGCAGUUGUGUGCCAUCAAAUGCAGGAGCUGGAAACUGCACUUAGGUUCUCUAGAAGAACAGGAGGUGGCUGUUAGCUGCUGAGCCAUCUUUUCAACCCAUAUUUGGUAUUUUUAUGUUUUGAGUCCUAACAUGGACAUUUAACGAACACAUACAAGAACCGCGUCUAACCUCGAUGUAGAUAAGAAUAUAGCAGUCACUUGCUGAGGACACAUUCACUAGAGCAGGAAGGGAGAAGUUGGCCCAUCAGUCUGAUCUCAGAACCUAGACCCGUAAUCCCAUCAUAACAGUGCAUCCAAGCCUUGCCCGCCCUGGCUGUGUUGAGCGGGUUUGCAGAGCCAGAGAGCGUUUCUUGCUGCAGGAUUGCUCUAAGAAACAAUGACAAA